rnacentral:misc_RNA from 1 species
UAAUAAGUGUUUAUGGCACUUCUUAAAUCCAUAUCCACCUUGUGUGCAAUGUCAGUCCGAUCUUCUUAUGAGAGCUGACCAAACAUCAACUUAUCUUUUAACUGUCUGUCUGAAAACUAUUAUGAAUAAACAAUUCAAAUA